ensembl:snRNA U1 U1 spliceosomal RNA
AAAAUUACCCAGCAGGGAAGAUACCACGAUCAAGGAGGUGGUUUUCCCGGGGUUGUUCUCACCCAUUGCACUCUGGGUAUCCUGGCUCCUGCCAUUUCCCCAAAUGCAGGAAACUCAACUGCAUGGUUUGUGGUAGUUGGGGAUAACAUUUGAGCUUUUCCCUU